CCUACGGGAGGCAGCAGUGAGGAAUAUUGGUCAAUGGUCGCGAGCCUGAACCAUCCAAGUAGCGUGAAGGAUGACUGCCCUACGGGUUGUAAACUUCUUUUAUAAAGGAAUAAAGUGAGGCACGUGUGCCUUUUUGUGUGUACUUUAUGAAUAAGGAUCUGCUAACUCCGUGCCAGCAGCCGCGGUAAUACGGAGGAUCCGCGCGUUAUCCGGAUUUAUUGGGUUUAAAGGGAGAGUAGAUGGGUUGUUAAGUCAGUUGUGAAAGUUUGCGGCGCAACCGUAAAAUUGCAAUUGAUACUGGCAGCCUUGAGUACAGUUGAGGUAGGCGGAAUUCGUGGUGUAGCGGUGAAAUGCUUAGAGAUCACGAAGAACUCAGAUUGCGAAGGCAGCUUACUAAACUGCCACUGACAUUGAUGCUCGAAAGUGUGGGUAUCAAACAGGAUUAGAUACCCCAGUAGUC
rnacentral:rRNA from 1 species